rnacentral:misc_RNA from 1 species
CUUUCAAGAGCUUCAAUGUCUAUUAAACAUAACGUAAUGAUUAAGGCAACCAUUUGUAUGAAACCAAAAAAAACAAAGGUGUAGAAUUUAAUAUCUUUAAAAUUCAGUUUUACAUCAUCAAAGAAAGUAUAAUGGCUCCCCACUAUCUGAUCCCCACCCAUAACGCAUUCACAUCGGAACGCAUCAUCCAUUGAAGCUCUUGAAAGAUUUACCCUCCUCUCAACAUUUCUUAUAACAGUAAACAGAUCCAGAAAAUGGAAAUAUUGAAGAAAUAAAGAUACUAUUAAAAGAUACAACUCAUGGUUUCAUUGCAAAAUGAAACAGGUAGCUAAAGCUUCCCUUUGGAAAAGGAAAUAACAGUAAAUAAUUGAUCCUAGGAACAGAGAUAUUGGAGAAGAGAGACCUAACCUGGACUGGUUUUCAUUAGCAUAGCCCAGAGAGGCUUCAUCCUUCCAAUCUUUGCUUUAAACAAUAAAUGGUAAAAAAU